rnacentral:rRNA from 1 species
CGAGUUUGAUCCUGGCUCAGGAUGAACGCUGGCGAGAUGCUUUACACAUGCAAGUCGUACGAGAGUCUUACUCUCGUUUACGUUUGGAUGACUAAACAGGCGGAAAGUUGACUAACAGAGGGGAACUUGCCUUUAGGACGGGGAUAACAAAUGUGUAUGUUUGCUAAUACCCUGUAUUUUUUCCAGUGAAAUGGAUUUUUCCGCCUAAAGAGAAGCUUGCGGCUGAUUAGCUUGUUGGUAAGGUAAUGGCUUUCCAAGGCGACGAUCAGUAUCUGGUUUGAGAGGACGAUCAGACACACUGGAACUGAGACACGGUCCAGACUCUUACGGGAGGCAGCAUGGGAGAAUUUUCCGCAAUGGGCGAAAGCCUGACGGAGCAAUCUCGCGUGAGGGAUGACUGCCUACGGGUUGUAAACCUCUUUUUUCAGGGAGGAAUAAAUGACGUGUACCUGAAGAAUAAGCAUCGGCUAACUCCGUGCCAGCAGCCGCGGUAAUACGGAGGAUGCAAGUGUUAUCCGGAAUCACUGGGCGUAAAGCGUCUAUAGGUUGUUUAAUAAGUCAGCUGUUAAAUCUUGAGGCUCAACUUCAAAAUCGCAGUCGAAACUAUUAGACUAGAGUAUAGUAGGGGUAAAGGGAAUUUCCAGUGGAGCGGUGAAAUGCGUAGAGAUUGGAAAGAACACCGAUGGCGAAGGCACUUUACUGGGCCAUUACUGACACUCAGAGACGAAAGCUAGGGUAGCAAAUGGGAUUAGAUACCCCAGUAGUCCUAGCUGUAAACAAUGGAUACUAGAUGUUGAAUAUCAUCGAUCUGUGCAGUAUCAAAGCUAACUGCGUUAAGUAUCCCGCCUGGGAAGUAUCUCGCAAGAGUGAUACUCAAAGGAGUGGACGGGGGCCCGCACAAGCGGUGGAGCAUGUGGUUUAAUUGGACACAACGUGAAGAACGAUACCAGGGUUUGACAUGAUACGAAUUUUUUCGAAACAAGAAAGUGCCUGAAAAGAGAAAAUACACAGGUGGUGCAUGGCUGUGGUCAGGCAUGUGUCUGAGAUGCUGGGUUAAGUCGAGCAACGAGCGCAACCCUCAUUUUUAGUUGCCCUCAUAAGGAACUCUAGAAAGACUGCUGGUUAAAACCGGAGGAAGGCGGGGAUGACGUCAAGUCAGCAUGCCCCUUACACAUUGGGCUACACACGUGCUACAAUGGGUGAGACAAUGAGAAGGACAUCUGUGAGGGCAAGCUAACAGAUAAAGUCAAUCUAAGUUCGGAAUGUAGGUUGCAAUUGGCGUGCACGAAUUGGGAAUCGGUAGUAAUAAUUGGUCAGAUUCACAGCUCAGAAUUGAUUCCCGGACCUUGUUCACGCCCCCCGUCACCCCAUGGAAGCUGGCCAUACCAGAAGUCAUCACUUGAACCUAUAUUCUGGAGGAGGGUGCCUAAGGUAGAAUUAGUAACUAGGGUGAAGUCGUAACAAGGUAACC